UACAGAAUGCACGUGUAUAUAAAUGGUUAUCGACUAAUGAGUUGUUAUUUCGCUGAAUAAUCUUGUGCAACAAAUAUAUGUAUUUCCUGCUGUUGUAUAUAUGUUUUGGCUAUUGAUUAUAGUAAUUCCUUUGUAAUAGACGAUAGUUACAAUACAGGGUGAAAUUAAUGUCAUUAGCAGUACGUAAAACUGAUAAUCUACCGACUAAACCGUCUUUAAAAAAAACGUUUAUGCUCACUUUUUUACUUUAUCCGAGCAGUACUAAUACAAAACCACCGAAUGCAGUUAUGAAUACUAGGGCGGCGCCAACUGCCGUCACUACGAUGCCACACGAAUAUGGUCCGCACAUUUUAAUUGUUUAAGUACUAUAAUUGUAAUAUUAAAAAUAAAUAAAUAAUAAAAUUUUA